GCCGCUGUUGACCGCAACGUUCUACCCUCGUCCCUCCUAGCCACCGACAAGCGUUCCUCUUCCCACAAGCAUGGCCGCCGUUGUCGGAGUUUGAAGUUGAUCGGAGUGUAGAACCAUCGCUUGACGGAGUUUUGACCGUUCCGCAGACCGACGCAUUCUUCGGAGCACAUUCCGCUGCCAUUUCGACCUUUGGAAGCAACGACCAUCGAAAGUGCCACCUUUCCGCCGUUGGACCAUUUUUUUUGGGCAAUCGUUUGUUGUUAUUCGGUGGAUUUUGAGUUGUUUUAUAAUUUCUUUUACCAUUUAGAGGUUUUGUUGUUUUAUGGGUUGUUUAACCUUAUUUGGUGUAGUGUAAUGGAGGAACUUGAUCAACAGAGUGAAGUUUCUCAUAGCAGGAAGAAGGGCAUAAUUCAAUUAAAAGAGGAGUAAGGCCAGGUUAUUGUUGAUGUUGGGGUGUUGAAAGAAGAGCUUUGUUAUGGUAUGGUCAAAGAAGUUGUUCGGAAAUUUGGUGUGCCAUUUAAUAAGCAAAAUAGAGGAGAUAAGGAG